GAUGAACGCUGGCGGCGUGCCUAAUACAUGCAAGUCGUACGCUGGAACUCUAUCGUGCUAGAUUGAAGGAGUGGCGAACGGGUGAGUAAUACAUAAGCAACCUACCCACGAAGGCUGGGAUAAUCUCUGUAAACGUGGACUAAUACCGGAUAGGUAAUCGGAAGGCAUCUUCUGAUUAUUAAAGGUUAAAAACACUGGAGGAUGGGCUUAUGGCGCAUUAGUUAGUUGGUGAGGUAACGGCCCACCAAGACGAUGAUGCGUAGCCGGCCUGGGAGGGUGAACGGCCACGUUGGGACUGAGACACGGCCAAGACGCCAACGGGAGGCAGCAGUAGGGAAUUAUCGGCAAUGGGGGAAACCCAGACCGAGCAACGCCGCGUGAGCGAUGACGGCCUUCGGGUUGCAACGCUCUGGUGGAAGGGAAGAACGGUAGAUAGAGAAUCUCUAAAUGACGGUACCUGAACAGAAAGCAACGGCUAACUACGUG
rnacentral:rRNA from 1 species